UACGUAGGGUGCGAGCGUUAAUCGGAAUUACUGGGCGUAAAGCGUGCGCAGGCGGUUCGUUGUGUCGGUGGUGAAAUCCCCGGGCUUAACCUGGGAAUGGCCAUGGAAACUGGCGAACUGGAGUGUGGCAGAGGGGGGUGGAAUUCCGCGUGUAGCAGUGAAAUGCGUAGAGAUGCGGAGGAACACCGAUGGCGAAGGCAGCCCCCUGGGCUAACACUGACGCUCAGGCACGAAAGCGUGGGGAGCAAAAGGG
rnacentral:rRNA from 1 species